GUUAUUUUGGCAGAAUAGUGCGUUAGAUUUAGAAUCUAUUUAAGUAAAUUUUAAUUUACAUAUAAUAC
rnacentral:tRNA from 1 species